rnacentral:lncRNA from 1 species
CAAUCGAGUUAAUUCUUUAAGUUCUGUAAAGCUAACGAAUUUACCCUCGUUGGCAUAUCAAAUUUCAUCGGAUUCGGAGUUACAAUGCGUUAUGUAGGUGAUGUUAAAGUUGAAGAUACAAAACAGGAUUUCUGCAGAAAAUGUGUUUGGACAGUGCUGCACUUAAAGGUUAACUGCGCCCUCUGUAUAACUCGGUUUGAGAUUCCGUUUUCUUCUAUGGAUAGCUAACUCGAUUACGGUCGCUAUGGUUCCAGUUUUGUGAAUUUUCAAUAAGGGAUGAGGUCUGUAUGAAUUUUUGAAGUUGAUGCUCUGAUGCAGAAUUCUGCAGAAAGUUAUGGGUACGGGUUUGAAGCAUUUCGAUUGCAAUUAUGCAUAUCAGCGAACUCUGGAAAUGACGAUGGUAUUGUUCAAGUGUGUUUGCAGGUGGGUUCCCUUAGAGCCUUAAACUCUAGUUAGUUUUAGCUCUAUUAGUUUCCCCAAAUUAUGAAUCUUGCNNNNNNNNNNNNNNNNNNNNNNNNNNNNNNNNNNNNNNNNNGUGAAUUAUGUAUGAGAGGAGCUUAAUCCCAAAGCUUCUCUCCGUUUUAAUUAUGUGAUAUAUGCUGUAAUGUUCAUGGCUAAUAAGGAAAGGGAUUGUGAUAAUGAUUUUUUUGCAAAACGGAUGGAAAUUUUAAAAACAGAGUAAUGAACUGAUAGCCUCGCUAAGCGAAAUGGUACUCGCUAGGCGAGAAUGUCAGCACAGUACUAUGUGGAAUUUAAAAUUAUGAACAAACUCACGUUUUUGAAUCCCCUACGUUUUUAGUACAUUUUCUGUGAAUAAUACAGGUAUAAUACUUAAUUAAAAUGUUAAGUACACGUUAAGUUAAGAUAAUCAGGA